rnacentral:rRNA from 1 species
AUUGAACGCUGGCGGCAGGCCUAACACAUGCAAGUCGAGCGAGCGGCGGACGGGUGAGUAAUGUCUGGGUAACUGCCUCUUGGAGGGGGAUAAAUCCUGGAAACGGUAGCUUAUAACGCGUACCAUCAGAUGUGUCCACAUGGGGGUGGCUGGUUGGUGGGGUAACGGCUCACCUAGGCGACGAUCCCUAGCUGGUCUGAGAGGAUGACCCGCCACACUGGAACUGAGACACGGUCCAGACGCCUACGGGAGGCAGCAGUGGGGAAGAGUGCACAAUGGGCGCAAGCCUGAUGCAGCCAUGCCGCGUGUGUGAAGAAGGCCUUCGGGUUGUAAAGCACUUUCAGCGGGGAGGCGUUACCCGCAGAAGAAGCACCGGCUAACUCCGUGCCAGCAGCCGCGGUAAUUC